CUNCCGUAGGGUGAACCUGCGGAAGGAUCAUUA
rnacentral:rRNA from 1 species